ensembl:miRNA gga-mir-12281 gga-mir-12281
UAUUCCAGCUGGGGUCUCUCAGCACAGCUGGCUGCUCGCCGUUCGGUGCUGCUCCGUCAGACCCAUCAGCAGG